rnacentral:tRNA from 1 species
GCCAGCAUGGUGCAGUGGUUUGAGUGUUGGACUACCACUCUGGAGACCUGGGUUUGAUUCCCCACCUUGCCA